GGUGGUGGUGGUGGUAGAGUUGGUGGUGGUGGUUGGUUUGAGUUUGAAAUGUGGUCUCUUUGUGUAGCCUAGGCUGGCUUUGAAUUACCAGUCGUCCUACCUUUAGUGCUGAGAUUACUCGUGUGUGCCCUCACAUUGAGCUGUUUGUUUCACAGGACAAAUAGUCAGAAGCACUACAGUUCGCUGGUAGGGAACCCGUAGACAGUAAGGCACUGCCAGGCCCUGUGGAUUAGACCACACUGGGAGCUGCAUUUACCUACAUGCAUAGUGAUACCCAUCUUGCCUCAGCCUGACCUGGGCCAGUGCUGUAUCAUGGGUUCUGUCCCAUUGGAAACGAGCUGGGGUAGAAGCUGGGUUUUUCUUCCCAGUGUCUCUCAAGAUCUUGGUGUCAGUUCAAAGUCCAAGCCAUUCUUUUUUUUUCCCCCACUCAUGACACAGAUUUUUAUUUAUAUAAACUUCACUCUGUGCUGGGCUAAGGAAAUGAUCUAAUGACCCAGAAUCUUCCCAGAUCCAGGGCCAGAGGGGUGGCAGGGCACCCUAGCCCCAUCCCUGCAGGACUGAUGAUAAAAUCCAAGGACUGGGGCUUCCCCAUCCUCCAACGUUCUUACCCCCCACCCCAAGCUGUGAGUUAAUUAUUUUAUACCCCCCCAAGGAAUUCCUGGCACCUCAGCUUCAGUUAGCAGGGGGGAUGGGGGCGGGACAAGGAGGCUGCCCCACCUUUGCGUAUCUGUGAGGAUGAUAAACUGACUUCACAAGGUUUCUCUCACUUAAGGAAUGGUAGGCAUGAGUCGCUCACCCCCAGAUCCCCUCUAAGCCGGUGGUCUGUGGGGUUCAGGAACCGGCCAGCUCAUCUUGAGCAUCAGUUUAGACCUCGGAAAGCACAGCCUCCCUCAGGAGUGCACCUACCUUCCAGUCCGGAGUCCCUUCUCCUCCUUCUCUCUGAAUUUUUCUCCUCAUCCUUCUCAUCUUCCACCUUCAUUUUGAUUGUUUAAAGAUUUACUUUUAUUUUUAAAUUAUGUGUAGGCAUGUGUCUGUGUGAGGUGUUUACAGUAGCUGCUGGUGCUCUCAGAAGCCACGGUGUCCCCUACACCUGAAGUUACAGACAAUUGUGUUUCAUGGUAUAGGUGCUGGGAACUGAACUCAGAAGAAAACCUCUGUGACCUAAAACCAAGGGUCUCAGAAACAACGCUUAGGUACUGUAGACAAACUAUGAAAAAAUAAAGAUGUCUAUGGCAGUCUUGAAGUGUAGCCUACACUAGGAGCCAAUCUUUGGAGGUGUGUGUGUGUGUGUGUGUGUGUGUGUGUGUGUGUGUGUGCAUGUGUGUGUGCAUGUGUGUGUGUGUGUUUAGAUAUACAUACACACACCACACAUUUACACACAUAUGUAUGAGUAUAUACACGUACAUAAACACUUUAAUUGUAUCUCAUUUUUGUGUAUGAGUGUUUACCCUACACAUGUCUCCAUACUAUGUGUUUGCAAUGUCCAUAGAGGCCAAAAGAGGGCGCCAAUUCCCCGAGAAUGGAGUUGAAAAGCAUUGUGAUUUGUCAGGUGGGUGGCUGCUGAGCCAUCUCUCCACUCCCAGAGGUAAACAGGUGAUAUAAGCUUAGUUGGCUGUUUGGAUAGUACUCUUAGGAGGAGGCCAGAGACAUGUUGGCUAGCUUUCUUCAAGGUUAUUUAGUCAGCUGUUGACUAAUUUUGAUACAUUCUGGUACAGUGUCUUAAACUAACAUUAAAUACUACUUCAGACAAAGAAAGUGUGGGAUUGGAGAAGUGGUUAAGAACAUAAACUGCUCUCAAAGAGAACCCAGGCUUCUGGUACCCAUAUGGUGGUUCAAAUACUUUUGUAUCUCUAAUUGCAAGGGAUCUGACUGUCUUCUGGCCUUGGCAGGCACCAUGGACAUGGUGCACUUGCAUAUGUGCAGGUAAAACACUUUUAUACAUAAAAUAAAACAAUGAACCUUUUUUAAAAGAAAGCUUCUGUUUCGUUAAGGAAAGAAAUCAUUUGUGGAGGCACACACUUUAAUCCCGCACUCAGAAGGCAGGGGCCAGUGAAUCUCUGUGAGUUUAAGGCCAGCCUGGUCUGCAGAGUGCGUUCCAAUUCAGCUAAGGGUAUGAGAAGAGUGAGAAGGAGGGGUGAAUGCUAGGACGGGAGAUGGUUCUGGCACUGCAAUGAGAAUGAGACUAGUACAUUUUUUAAACUUUCCUGAUUUAUCUUUAAAAUCUCUUACAAGUGGCUUGGAUAAUAUACUUUAGACCAGUGGUCAUUUGGUCCCCAGUUUUGCAGUCUCUGGCUGUGGGAACCUGUCAAAGUGCUGUAGUAUCCAUUUGAGCAGCUGAAGGGCCCUAGCUCAUUCCAAAUCCCGGAUCUGACUUUCAGUCACGUGUGUCUGUCAUUUAGCCAAAUAUUUCAGUGAGCCGACCAAUCACGGGGAGUAUAGCCCAAAACUUUACCUGAAAGAGGCCACUGGAGGGAGGCCACCAGUUUCUGAGGGAGAAGCUCAGCUCCACCAAGUCACUGCUCAGUCAAAAUCCUGGUCAGGCGGAGGGUGGCUGCUAACAGAUACUAUGUUUCCUUAAGCUAAGAUAGGUCAACAAACCAUGAUGGUUUUGUUUCAGGAAAAAAAAAGUUUUGCUCAUGUUCAAGGAGCACUAAUUGUAAACUUGAAAAGCCUAGGACGGUGGAGCGAGUCGCUAGUUUGGUUGUUUGGCUAUCCUCCUCACUUGAUGAUUUCCGGGCUUUUACGGGUGCAAUGAGAAUUGUCCUUUCCAGUGAGCUGAUACUGUACUCCAGAGGAUGCAGGAAAGAAACUGCCCAAACCAGAGCUCCGUAGUGUGGUUAAGGGAAGGGUUUUUACUGUAGUUAAAAGGAAGAAAAUAUUCAGAGGUGUCUAGAAGAGUCCAGAGCAGAGAGGGGAAGAAGUGGACCCAACGUGGCCCAGGCUGUCUGUGAAAGGAAAAGCAGCUGGAGAGGAAGAGUGAGGGAGUCCUGAGCAUAACUCUGUGUACCAGGCUGGGAAAGGUGUGUGACAGAGUGUAGGGAGCCUGGAGGUCAGCAAGGGCUUUUCUGGCAACCACAGGUAGCCAAAUGUCCCUUCUGUCGGCAGUAAAGGAAAGGAGGUCUUUUGGCAGAUGGGAACCAGUUUCACAAAUCUCUGAGAAACACUGGCUUCUAUUGAACAGAAAUUCUGCUCUAGCCAGUUUGAGCUCAUUGCUGGGUAUAUGGACUGCCUGAGAACCAACAGGUAUGUCAUAACAUAUUUGGAGAAAUAAGACAGCAUGUAUCUGAGGGUUUUCUUUCUCUCUCUUUCUUCCUUUCUUUCUUUCUUUCUUCCUUCCUUUCUUUCUUUCUUUCUUUCUUUCUUUCUUUCUUUCUUUCUUUCUAACAAGGAAGGGACAGGGUCUAAUUAUGUAGCCCUGGCUGACCUGGAACUCUAUGUAAACCAGGAUGUCCUAAAACUCAAAGAGAUCCUCCUACCUCUGCCUCCCAAGUGCUGCAAUUAAAGACACGCAUCAUCACGCCCAGCUCAUUUGAGUAUUUAAGUUAAAAUGUUAAAGCACUGGUGUCAGAAAUGGAGAUAAACACGAACAGUUUUCCCAAAGAACAAAUACAGCACUUAAAACAGACUGUUAAAAUUGUUCCUAAGGUCAUUUACUUAGAAAACACACAAAGAGAGUUGAUAAAUAUACGAUCAAUAUCUUUCUCUCUGGAUAGAGAGAGGGAAGGAGAGAGAGAGAGAGGUAAGGAGGGAGAGGGAGAGGUCUGCAUAUAUGCCUGUAUACUACUUGCCUGCCUGGUUCCCCAGGAGGACAGAGGUGGCCACUGGAACCUCUGAAACUGGAGUUGCAGAUAGUUGUAGUCCACUAUUUAGGUGCUGGGCAAGAGCACCAAGGCCUCUUAACCUUGAGCCUCCUCCUCAGCUCCCUCUUCCUCUUCCUUUUGUUUGGUUUUGAGAUAGGGCCCUGCUCUGUAGCCCAGGUUGAGCUGCAGUCUCAUGCCCUCCUCAAUCUUGAAUGUAAGCAGUGAACCAGAUUACCUUCUGAAUCAGUUAUAUUUACAUAGAUGUGGAAGAGAGUGAGGGAAGGCACGGUAGAUGUACGACGCAGUGGAACGGUCACACUGAAAACCAGACAAAGAAAGUGCCACCUUCUCACACUGGCUUCGCUGGUGCACUCUAGAGUGCUUCUCCGUGGUCCACGAGCCGACCCCAUCAUGGGAAAGUAGUUUCCCUGCUAUCAGCUACUGCCCCAAAGUGAAGCUUCUUCACAUACCUGGCUGGCUGGCUGGCUGGCUGGCUGGCUGGCGAAGGAAGGGACUGUCUACCCAGGGAGCAGAGCAUCAAAGAAACACAGGUCUUAAAAUGCAGGCUUCUUGCAUAACUGGAAGUCAGGAGGACCCAAGAGUUUACUGGACUCUCUUGGUCCAAAGAUUCAAGAUCAAAUGUGUAAUGGACCCAAGGUGUUUCUGGCAGUGUUCGCCUGUGCUACAUCUGUGGUCAUGUUUGCAUGUGUGCAAGCUGUGUGCUUUGCACUGUGGGAAGCAGAGACAUCCCUGGAUGCCAGUGGUCUGCCUGAAACACGAAGGCUUAGACUGGAGAUGAGCAGGGGCUAUGGAUUGAACUGCAGUAUUUCUCCUGUGAAUACCAAGCUAUCUGCUUCUAUGGAAGCAUUACCGUUUCCUACAGACUGCAGUCACUUCUCAGGAUGUAAUCAGCACAUUAUUGUACCUUUGACUUUUAUAGUGUCUAAAUAUUUGAUCUUAAAAGCUUCUGCUUGAGCUGCUGACAUGAGUGCCUUAAAUCCAUUCAUGAAUUGUUGUUUGAGACUAGGACAUAUUUUCCAACAAUUUCUGCAAUAGGCCGAAACUCAUUGCUAUCAUUUUGUACUGUGCAUUGUUGCAAGGCAACAUUCUCAGGAUCAACAGCUACAGAAUUAAAAUAUGAUCAACUUAGAGAAAUGUUGACAGUGCUGUAUAGGUGGAAUAUGAAAUACUCAACUUUGGGUUGGGGAUUUAGCUCAGUGGUAGAGCGCUUGCCUAGGAAGCGCAAGGCCCCAGCUCCGAAAAAAAGAACAAAAAAAAAAAAAAAAGAAAUACUCAGCUUUGAUUCAAUUCCUUAUGGAAAAGUAAGCAAACACAUUAUAAGGGAGCCUACUGGUUUUGUCUCUAAUUAGUGGCAAAAGUCUAUGUAUACCACAGCACUGCUGGAAGUAAAUAUCUUUAUGAUUUAUUAUUGGCGAAUGUCUACUUUACAUAACUGGUCUAUAUACCAUAUAUCUGGAUUUGGUAAAAUUUCACAGUCAAAUGGGGUUGGAGGUAAGAAAGUUCAAGAAGCCUCUGUUUAGAGUGGACAACAGAUAAAUUGAGGAAGUGUUACAUUUCUCCUCCUUUAUUUUAAGGUCAGUUUAGCUCAACUAAAAACAAAGGUCCAAGAGGCCCAUUGUUAAUAUAUGUGAAUAUACUGUUUUUUAUAACCCAUUCAUAAUCUAAAAAUUUACCUAUGUAUAAAAGUGCUUUGCCUCUAUGUGUGAAGGUGUACCACUUAUAUUCCUGGUGGCAGCAGGGGUCAGAUCCCAUAGAACUUCGGUUACAGAUGUUUGUGAGCCUGUGAGUGCUGGGACUGAAAGGGACCAAAGGCCUCUGCGAAAGCAGCAAGUGCUCUUAACCGCAGAGCCAACUCUCUCGUCCCAUACUGCCCUUUGACAAAAGACCCAGCAGCCUCGUUGUUGUAUAACGAUAUUCAUUAAGCUUGUAAGCUUGUCUAUACAGUGAUUCUUUCUGUGUGACAAGCCAACACUUGACACUUGUAGAUUGUGUGACUGUUUAAUAUAUACUUUUUUGUUUUUAGCAUGAGCUGUAUAUUACAAACUUAGAAGUGGGGAUGGGGGAGGGGGCGUUUAUGGUGUAAAAGUAUGUUGACCUGUGGUGAGCUGUUUAUCCGAGGUGGAGGUACAGCGUCUCUUGUCAGAGCAGGUAAUAUCCAGGGCCUGGGAUCCAGAAUGGUGGACGGUCUAGUUCUAGCAAGCUGUGGGGUUGCUCUACAGAAUGGGCACUUUCCGACCCUAGACACUAACUAGUCCAUGCCCAACCAUGGAAAAAGCGAAGAAGGCAAGUGGAAAUCAACUUCCACAGGAGGAAAGCAUUCCCUGGUGAUAGCACCGGAUUCCUGAAUACUUAUGGAGAACAUGCAGUUAGGAUUACGGUGAAGUGAACUGAAGAGCUACAAAAGCUGGGAUGUGGCCAUCUUUUUAUCCCACUGCACCUUCUAAGGCAGAACCACUGUGUAGAGCCUUGUGGGACUGAAAUAUUCCAGAAAAAAAAAUCUCGCUGUGGAAGGUUGGAGUUUCACAAUCAUCUUCUGCCAAACAUAAGAAGCCAGAGUUCAAGACGCUUCCAGGACCUACGCCUGCCAGCUUGACAUCUGUAGGGAGGAAACAGUGAGACUCAUAUUUAAGGGCGACUUUUUGCCACGCCUCCUGGCUACUGAGACUAGUUUCCUGGUUUUCCCUAGCAUUUCCGGUAUGCCUAGGCAAGACUUGUGUGUCAAUCUUUCCUGCUGGAGGCUCUGCUCUCCCACCCUGCCCUGCGCUGAAUGGGUGGGGCAUCCUGAAGCGCUGGGGGAGGGGUCCAGCGCACUACGCACGCGCAAGGCCUUGCUUGUAUGGAGAGUCCAGCGGCGGAGCCCUCGGGAUACAGCUCCUCCUAGCUGUGGGAAGGGCACAGUAAUGACCGAGACUUCUGUAAUCCUGCUUUUGUGUCCCUUGCGCAAAGGACUGCGUUUCCCAGGAAUAGAAUGAGGUUAAUUUGAUCCCUACCUUAUGCAGCUAUUUGAUGACUGAAAAAAUUAGUUUGUCUUUAUGCUUAGCCUCGUUCAGGCACUUAUUAGUGCUAGUUUCUUUUCUCUCCAUGUACUGCCAGAAUCAACAACUAGCUCAAAGAGUCCACUUGUUCCCAAAAAUGCGGAUCGAAUGUCCAGAUAACUGCGCUGGCAGACUGUCUGUGAGGAGGUAGACAAGCGCCUAGAAGAAGUACAGUAAUGGCAGGAUUGCUGGGGUCGGGGGAACUCUGGGAGUGCCCCAAACUGUGCUUAAUCCACUCUCAGAUUGGCACAGAAGCCCUUCCAUGAAGGAUCAGGGAGUCUGUGAAGUUGGAAAAGGCCUGAGUGUGAGCGAUGCCUACCUAAAUGCUAGCGUGGACAGUGGAGGUUUAUCUUGGUUUGCUUGCUGGGUUUCGUUAAGACAGUGUCUCUUGCGUUGUAUCAGACGCAUGACAAUCCCAACUCAAAUGCUGGGACUGCGAACAGCAGCCACCCACCCUGCCUGACCAGUGUGUGUGUGUGUGUGUGUGUGUGUGUGUGUGUGUGUGUGUGUGUGUUUGGGUCUCCUUGCACAUGAGCAUGGCAAGCACUCUACCUGAAGCAGAAAGAGGGUACUGAGGAUCUUAGAGGGUCUGAUUUUAAGGAAGGCUUUUAGGAAGAUCUCCCUGGUUAGAUGUCAUAUCGAUAUGCAAGGUCUGAUCCAAUUGAAUACUACCUACUUUAUAAAAUCACAAAAACAUGACAGGAAUCUGGUAUUUUUAAAGUAAUAUGAUAUUUUCCCCCAUACUAAAUAAAACUGUGAGCCAUUAGUGUUGGCAUUCUGUCUAAGCUCCACCCCCACAGUUACCUGGCACCCUCUCUUUACCUUUUUAUAAACACAUCAAUUAUCAUACCACCUAAGGGUCACAUGACUUCCUCUAGCAUCUCAAAAAUGUGUCCCCAUCCACUCAGAAAAGUUUGAGGUGAAACUAUAUAGUUCUAAAUUCUCAGAUACUAAGGAGAUAGUCAGUUUUUCCCUAUAUCAAGGACUGAGUUCGGCUUUAAUGGCUUCUCUAUAAAUUUAAGAUGUUAAAUCCAAAAGCAAACCUUAGUGUCAGCAUAAACAAAAAUCUUUAUGCUUUCUUCUUUCAACUGCCCCACUUGUAGAAUUGUUUCUUGCUCACUUCAGCUUGUCCUGUUCCUAGGCUCAGGAAGCUCGGAAACGGUGGAAAGUGUCAUCAGAUUUGCAGAAGGAAGCCACUGCAGGCCUGGGCUUGCAGGUUGGCUUGGGGGAUUAAAAGCCCUAAGUGCACUAGUAGGGUCACGACUCUCUCUCUCUCUGUGGCAUUCUGUUAGGUGGUAAGUUAAGCAUGCUCUUCUUUCUUUUCUUUUUUUAAAUCUUUAAAAAAGAUUUAUUUAUUGUAUGUGUGAGAGUGCACUGUAGCUGUCUUCAGACACCAGGAGAGGGCAUCAGAUCUCAUUACAGAGGGUUGUGAGUCACCAUGUGGUUGCUGAGAAUUGAACUCAAGACCUCUGGAAGAGCAGUAGUCAGUGCUCUUAACCCCCGAGCCAUCUCUCCAGCCCCCAUGCUCUUAUUUCAACGAUGUCCCCAACACAAUGCUUUUGAAACAGCAGUUUGCAGGAUUAGCUAAUAACUAAUACUCUCGUUCCCGUUUAAAUCCACUGAUCAAUGAUUGCAGGUGUGCACACUGAAACUGAAACUCAGAUUUGGCUAAACUAGCUGACCAAUGAGCACUGGGAUCCGCCUGUGUCCCCGCCCCCUCAGCGCUGGAGUUUUAGAUACAUGCCAUUAAGCCUAACUUUUUGACUCAUGUGCUCAUGCUGUUGUGCCUAAGCCAUCUUCCUGGCAUACUUUGCUGGGUUUCUCAGCACCUUUUGCUGUGGAAUGAGUGGGGAAAAUAUAAUAAUUUUGCUAAUUUAUUCUCAUAAACGAUAAAGUUUUCAUAAGCUCACUUAUGCUAACUGAAUAUGCAGCCGAUGUGCCAGGCAUUGAAAUGAAUGUUUUUCAAAGAGUGGGGUAGUGGCCAGAAUCAGUUUUAACCUUAGCCCAGUUGUCAAAGGCAAGAACUUGGCAACCGUCUAACACUUUUGGAAAUCACUUGGCUAAGUCUUUUUUUUUUUUUAAGACUUAUUUACUUAAUAUACGUGAGUACACAAUCGCUGUCCUCAGACACACUAGAAGAGAGCAUCAGAUCCCAUUACAGAUGUUUGUGAACCACCAUGUGAUUGCUGGGAAUUGAACUCGGGACCUCAGGAAGAGCAGUCAGUGCUCUAAGCCCUUGGCUGGUCUUGAUAAAGACUUGAUAGACAGGAAAGACCAGCAGCCGCUCUAGAUUCCCACCAUGAAAGUCAGCAAACUAAGCAUUGUUCACACUUGCCCACGCCCUGGAUAAGAUCAGCCCUCUGUUUUGCUCAUGGAUACCACACAGCUUGCAAUCUUCCUUUUAAAGAAAUUUUUAUGUGAAGAUAUGAUUUAAGAAGGUGUACCUGCCCUUCCAAAGUCUCCAUUAUCUUCCAAUUAGGACACAAAUGAAUCAGCUUAACAAUGAGUUCAUCCAUUGAUGAGGUUAGAGUCCUCAUGACCAAAUCACCACCCUGAGCAUUGCUGGAUCAGGCACCAAGAGUCCAACACAUGAGAUCCCUUGGGGACAAUUCAGAUUCAAACUAUGGCAUUGACUCCCAAGAUAUGGAGACUGAGAAUCACAUAUGAACUUCAUAAUGCCAUUCAGAUUCAAAGAUACGUGUAAAUUGUGGAGAAAGUUGUCUUUAAGAUUGUAUACAUACGCUGGAGAGAUGGCUCAGCGGUUAAGAGCACCCGACUGCUCUUCCAGAGGUCAUGAGUUCAAUUCCCAGCAACCACAUGGUGGCUCACAACCAUCUGUAAAGAGAUCUGAUGCCCUCUUCUGGUGUAUCUGAGGACAGCUACAGUGUACUUAUAUAUAAUAAAUGAAUAAAUAAGAUUGUAUACAUACACGCACCGUGUGCAAGCUUGACCCUCUGGAACUCCAGAUACAAACACUACCUCAUGGUGUGGGGAUUUCGAAUCAGACAAGGUCCUCCGCAAGAGCAGCAGGCACUUCUAGUGGCUGACUCACUGCUCCAGUCUCAGAACUGAGUAGAUUUAAGGACUACUCUGAAACAGACAUGGAGGGAGACAGAGUAGUUUCAGAAUGAGGUAGUUGCAGACUGACCUCCUCCAAUGGAGUCUCACCUCCAGUGUCCGUGUCUGUGCCUUUCUAUACACUAAACAGGACUGACCUAUGUGACCCAUGCGAUACUUCAGAACUGACGUGGCUCCCUGGAGGCAGAGAAUGUGACUUCUGUCCCACCCUCCAUUGCUGUACUAUGAGAUAUACACAUCAAACAUGUCUUCCCCAACUCCAUCAGUUCUUUGUGCCACAUGCCGGGAGCCAAGCCCACGUACACACCCUCUGUCUCAAGAAUGUUUCAGGAAUGUCAAGCCCUCUUACGCCCUCUGAGACACCUACCCAGUUAUCUGUUCUUAUCAAUAUACCUGCAAUGUAUGGUUUUAGGGCUUUAGGGAGGGUGGUGACGGUAGUGAAAUUGACCCUGGGCCCUGCGUGGCCUUCCCGCCUGCUUGUCUUUAUAAACCACUGUAUCAAAAUAAAAUUUGAGAGCUUGAUCAGACCAUAGACUUGCUCUCCUUCUUGCCUCCUGUCCCCCAUCCCUUCCCCCCCCCACGUCUCCUCUGAACUCCAGCAGGCCGAGGCACCAUACUUCCCUGCUGAUGACAUCAUGUCUGCUCUCAAACCUAACCUACACAUGUAUGUAUGAUUUUAUGUGACAGCAUAUGAUCUAGGAACCACAAAUUUUAAGAUAGCAUUCUUCCUGAGACUGGUGUGAUGAUCUUAAUCUGUUGUCUCUCCAUCCUUUUGUUAAUCUUUAAAUUGUCCUCUACCCUGAUGGCUAGGAGCUCAGUUUUGGCUGUGAUCCAAGUUUUAUGUUUUUUUUUUCUUAAAGGUUUUAUUUUUAUUACAUUGUAUCUUUUCAUUUUGUGCACAUGUCUGUGUAGGGGCACAUAUGUCAUGGCAUGCAUGUGGAGGUCAGAGGACAACUUGAGGAAGUCAGUUCUUUCCUUCCACCAUGUGGGUUCCUUCCAAGGACUGAGCUCUGGUCGUCCAGCCGGGUAGCAAGCAUCCUCUGACUCUCUCACUGACCCACAACUCACUUUUAAGACCUGGUUCUCGGGGCUGGAGAGAUGGCUCAGAGGUUAAGAGCACUGACUGCUCUUCCAGGGGUCCUGAGUUCAAAUCUCAGCAACCACAUGGUGGCUCACAACCAUCUGUAAUGAGAUCUGAUGCCCUCUUCUGGCGUGUCUGAAGACAGCUACAAUGUACUCAUAUAAAUAAAAUAAAAUAAAUCUUAAAAAAAAAAAAAAA